AUGUUGAUUUAAAAUGGAAAGCUCAAUAGAUUAACCAGUUGAUUGAAUGAUUGUAUGUUUGUCUGCUGUUGUUUUCAAUUACUCUUAUGAACGGCGUUUAACCUGGUUUAACAGACUAUCCAUUAUCAUCACAAUUACCAUUGCUAGUUCAACGUAAAUCAAAAUCUUGUGUUGCUGGUUAAUAAUCUGGUUUAAUCAGGUCCAUGUCGAGAAGUGUUAAUUUAAUUCAUUUGACAACUACAUGGUUUAAUUUUAAUAAUAGUCAUUUCGUUUUUCACAAAACAAAACUAUCUGGUUGAGUGAAACAUGGCAUAGAUCAAAUGACAGAAUGCGAAUUUUGAAUUUCACGUAACUUUCACUUUCAGCUCUUAAUUUUUCGUUGAUAGGUUGAUAGAUGAACAGUAAUUUUAAAAGCAAUCUUCAUAUUUAAUAGUCAACCCGGUGAUUUUAAUCAACGUCUGGUUACCAUUUGUGUUUUAAUAUGCAUUACCAUUGUUAACAAUUGAAGAGUAAACGGUCCACACAUGGUUUACUUAUGCUCGAUGAAUUUAGGUGUAAAGAUUAGGCAAGUAAUGAUACAUUUAUUAAUUGAAUGAGAUAUGAACUUGCUAUUAGUAAAUCACUCCAAGUACCAAUCAAUUUUACUAUUAAUCCAUGUUUAUUUGGGUUUCUUUACCAGUGAAACGAAACCUUUGCUGGUACACAACCACAUUAGCAAAUCAAAAACUGGUUCAAAAUUUACCAUUAAAGGACCGACAACUAACCAGUCUUGGUCUAUGAGUGUCUCUAAGCCGAGUAUAGAUAAGUGUUCAAAGUUGCGAGUUCGAGCAAAUAUAAAAUCACUGAAUGAAAAUGAACUGAAACAAUAUAUCGAUGCUUUAAAAAUUUUGUAUGCUGAUGGGACAAUCGAUCGUUAUGCCAUCUUUCAUCAGACAAAUUACUUGUCAUCCCAUAAUCAGCCAAUCAUCUUUUGGUGGCAUAGAUAUUUUAUUUAUGCAUUUGAAAAUGAAUUACAACGGAUUAAUCCAAAUCUAACUAUUCCUUAUUGGAUCUCAUUCCAAUUAUGCAUUUUUAGGAUACAACUGAAGAUUCAAAGGAACCACAUAAAAGUGUUGUCUUGUCAGACAAAUAUUUUGGCGGCAAUGGAGAACCACCAUUUUAUUGUGUUUCAAACAGUUUCCUUUCAACUGUUGAUACCAAAUUACCUGAUGGAAAAAGACGGUGUAUUAAACGAAUCUUUUAUGGUUCUCAAUCGGACACAUUAAGCCCAUGGAAUAAUACACAAUCUGUGUUAAAUUUGAUCAGAGUCUCAAAUGAUUCGGAAGCAUUCAGGAUUGGCUUGGAAGAUUCAAUUCAUUUAGAUGUACAUCGAGGUUUGGGUAGUGAUGAACCCAGAGGGGACAUGAAUUCACCCAUUGCUCCAAUCGACCCAAUAUUUUAUCUUCAUCACUCCAAUCUGGAUCGUUGGUUAUACACCUGGCAGCUGUCUAAACCAGAAAGGUUUGAAAUGAUUAAUGGUCAACAGCGCCUUCUAGAUAAUUCACUGGCUCCACUGACCAAUGAUUAUAUUCUCGAUGGUUAUGCUAACGUUUCCAUUGGUACCAUUUUAAGGAUUGAAGAGGACCCACUGUGCUAUACGUAUGAUUACCUACCGCUGGAUAGAUUGCAACUCGAUCAGGACCAGAAUCAAUGAAAGAUGAAUCCAAACUGAACAAAUCUUUACAUUUCUGCCUUUCUUGUUACAACCAUCCUAAUGAAUGUUAAUGAUGAUAAUGAUGAUAAUGAAGAUUAUUAUUAUCAUCAAUAUUUCAUUAAUUCUAAUCGUUUAUUUUAAA